CGGGGCAUUGCCUUAGUACGGCGAGUGAAGCGGCAAAAGCUCAAAUUUGAAAUCUGGUACCUUCGGUGCCCGAGUUGUAAUUUGGAGAGGGCAACUUUGGGGCCGUUCCUUGUCUAUGUUCCUUGGAACAGGACGUCAUAGAGGGUGAGAAUCCCGUGUGGCGAGGAGUGCGGUUCUUUGUAAAGUGCCUUCGAAGAGUCGAGUUGUUUGGGAAUGCAGCUCUAAGUGGGUGGUAAAUUCCAUCUAAAGCUAAAUAUUGGCGAGAGACCGAUAGCGAACAAGUACAGUGAUGGAAAGAUGAAAAGAACUUUGAAAAGAGAGUGAAAAAGUACGUGAAAUUGUUGAAAGGGAAGGGCAUUUGAUCAGACAUGGUGUUUUGUGCCCUCUGCUCCUUGUGGGUAGGGGAAUCUCGCAUUUCACUGGGCCAGCAUCAGUUUUGGUGGCAGGAUAAAUCCAUAGGAAUGUAGCUUGCCUCGGUAAGUAUUAUAGCCUGUGGGAAUACUGCCAGCUGGGACUGAGGACUGCGACGUAAGUCAAGGAUGCUGGCAUAAUGGUUAUAUGCCGCCCGUCUUGAAACCCGGAACCCCA
rnacentral:rRNA from 1 species